UACGAAGGGGGCUAGCGUUAAUCGGAAUUACUGGGCGUAAAGCGUGCGCAGGCGGUUUUGUAAGCCAGAUGUGAAAGCCCCGGGCUUAACCUGGGAAUGGCAUUUGGGACUGCAAGGCUUGAGUGCGGCAGAGGAGACUGGAAUUCAUGGUGUAGCAGUGAAAUGCGUAGAGAUCAUGAGGAAGACCAGUGGCGAAGGCGGGUCUCUGGACAGUUCCUGACACUGAGGCACGAAGGCUAGGGGAGCAAACGGG
rnacentral:rRNA from 1 species